ACAUGGUGGCAUGAAGCCCAGCCGCGGCAGCACCUCUGCUCUGCGGGAUCCGCUAUGUCCAUAGGAUAUUUGCCUCCCAGAAUGAAAGGGAGCUCAAAGUGACCCAAAUUCUCAAAGAAAAGUUUCCUUGAGCUACAGUGAUCAAAGUCACUGACAUUUCAGGAGGUUGAAAUUAAAUAGAAAUUUAAUUGAAUUAAUUAAUUUAAAUUGAAUUUAAAAUGAAAUUAAAAUUGAAUCAGAAGAAUUUAAGCAGAAGAGAACUGUUCAGCAGUACCACAUGGUUAAUCAGGCACUAAAAGAAGAAAUCAAAGGGAUGCAUGGAUUACAGAUAUUUACCUCUGUCCCCAAACGCUGA
rnacentral:lncRNA from 1 species